rnacentral:rRNA from 1 species
ACAACUUUUAACGGUGGAUCUCUAGGCUCGUGCAUCGAUGAAGUACGCAGCGAAAUGCGAUACGUAGUGUGAAUUGCAGAUCUUCGUGAAUCAUUGAAUCUUUGAACGC